UACGGAGGGUGCAAACGUUGCUCGGAAUCAUUGGGCGUAAAGCGCGCGUAGGCGGUCCAGCAAGUCGGGUGUGAAAGCCCUCGGCUUAACCGAGGAAGUGCAUUCGAAACUAUUGGACUUGAAUACUGGAGAGGAUCGCGGAAUUCCCGGUGUAGAGGUGAAAUUCGUAGAUAUCGGGAGGAACACCAGUGGCGAAGGCGGCGAUCUGGACAGAUAUUGACGCUGAUGUGCGAAAGCGUGGGGAGCAAACAGG
rnacentral:rRNA from 1 species